GACGAACGCUGGCGGCGUGCUUAACACAUGCAAGUCGAGCGAGGGGCUUCGGCUCCUAGCGGCGAACGGGUGAGUAACACGUGGGCAAUCUGCCCCGAGCUCUGGAAUAACUUCGGGAAACCGGGGCUAAUGCCGGAUAUGACACUACCGGGCAUCUGGUGGUGUGGAAAGAUUUAUCGGCUCGGGAUGGGCCCGCGGCCUAUCAGCUUGUUGGUGGGGUAACGGCCUACCAAGGCGACGACGGGUAGCCGGCCUGAGAGGGCGACCGGCCACACUGGGACUGAGACACGGCCCAGACUCCUACGGGAGGCAGCAGUGGGGAAUAUUGCGCAAUGGGCGAAAGCCUGACGCAGCGACGCCGCGUGGGGGAUGACGGCC
rnacentral:rRNA from 1 species